rnacentral:lncRNA from 1 species
CAAGAACACAGUUGUUUUUCAAUAACGAUACCAAGGUUACACACGCCUAUUGGAGCUUUCUUCGUCAGACAGAAACAACGUAGUACUACGGUGACAAUAACCGAGAUAUAGCAGCCACAACUGUGCAAACAUGCAAUACAGACAUUCAACACAGCUUAGGAACUCAAACAUACAUACAAAUAAACCCGAGAAAAAGACACAAGAAAAAAUGGUUUUUGACAAUCAUACCUUUCUUCCUUUUUUGUAAAUCGACGUAUUCUUAUACCUCUGUCAGAUAAAUGCAUGCUGGCCUUAAUUUAGCAUUUCAGUUUCGGACGAGUCAUUGUUCCAAAAAUGUAUUUCAAUAUUGAUUGUCAUUUAUUGCGAAAAUUGUGCAGUCCUACUAUACAUUUAUGGUGACGAGAAAAGAAAGGACUAACCUUCAAUUGCCAGUAGACUCAAGGAAAUAAUCGCAUCGAUGAAUGAAUCGUAAAUUUAAAAUACGAAUGUAUAGUAAAGACAGUUAAACUAUGAAGUACCAAAAAAGAAACUUUUUAAUAUUGAUGGUUAUUACCAUACAAUUAUAUAAAUUUACAUUUCAGUUUAGUGGCAGUUUUAAGUUUAGUUUUGUCUUUUCAUAUAAUAAGUAUAUGUUAUGAUCACGACUAUGCUCACAACAUUAUUGUACAAUUAUUUUAUAAAUAAUAGUAUUACGAAAUAUAAAUUGAUUUUGAUUCUAAGGAUGUAAAACAGUCAUUAUGUGGUAAGUACCGAUUUCAAACGAAUAGUAAAUACUGCUUUACUACACACCAGCUUGAUGUUUGUUUUUUGCUUUUUUUUUAUUUUAUUGAAGAUGAUUUUACUCGUGUAAACUGUGCCACCAAUUGAUAAAGAAAUAUAUUUGCAUGUAAAAUAUUUCACUUAUACAUUGAAAAAUCCAUUUUAACUAAUUUGUUUAUAUAAAGAUUCAUUCGAGCAGGGCUUUAAGUAUAAAUGAGGAGCAAUUAUUUUUUACAAUAUGCUAUAAUCAAUAUCAUGUAGUUACAUAGUUCACAAAACUCGAAAUGGACGUUUAAUAUAUGAUUCUAAAUAUAUGCAAUCAAAUAUUGAUAUAACUAUAAGAUGUUCGUUAUAUUAAAAUGUUUUGUUCUAAUACGAAAUGAUAAUGUUGUG